CUCUCCUGUUGUAGUUUUCGUAUCCGACAACCGUCGUCUCGGCCCGAUUGAUGCAUCUGUGUAGAUGAAACAGAUGAUAUCCCACCAUGACUAGCAAACCUCCCGGGACUAGAACAAAAUCCAGGUUUAGAUUAAGACAUUGUCUUGAUGUAUUUCAUCGUCGGCCACGCCAAUGCAUAAAGUAAAGCAGUGAGGUAAUUGCUGAGACAAUUGCCCCUUUUUAUUAUCUUCUUUAUUAAUUACAGCCUUGGAAAAGAUUAGUGUAAAUGUUAGUAAAGUGUACAUGUCACAUCCAUAUAAAAUUGUAAAUCCCAACUGUGCUAAAGUGUAAACUACUACUCUAUUAUUCAAAUCACAUUUUUGAAGACUUGA